UACGUAGGGUGCGAGCGUUGCCCGGAUUUAUUGGGCGUAAAGGGCGCGUAGGCGGCUCGGCACGUCCGUUGUGAAAUCGCCCGGCUCAACUGGGCGGGGUCAGCGGAUACGGUCGAGCUUGAGCAAGCUAGGGGGUAAUGGAAUUCCCGGUGUAGUGGUGGAAUGCGUAGAUAUCGGGAGGAACACCAGUGGCGAAGGCGGUUACCUGGGGCUUUGCUGACGCUGAUGCGCGAAGGUCAGGGGAGCAAACGGG
rnacentral:rRNA from 1 species